rnacentral:rRNA from 1 species
AAGUUAAGCUCUCUAGCGCUGAUGGUACUUGGUGGGAAACUGCCUGGGAGAGUAGGACGUAGCCACGUAGUCUUUUUUCAUUUAUUAUAAAAAUUAAGAUUAAAUAGAAUAUAAAG